GGGCGCGUAGUGGAGUGGUUACCACGUUGGUCUUCGAUCGGAGUACACCGUACUUACGUAGCGAACCAAAGUUCGUCGGUUCGAUCCCGGCCGUGCUCA
rfam:Rhizoctonia solani AG-1 IB, isolate 7/3/14, WGS project CAOJ01000000 data, contig: 09186